rnacentral:lncRNA from 1 species
CCAUACAUGAUACAAAUUUUAAAAUCAUGGAAGUAUUCUUUCACAGUCCUACUACCUUGCCUCAAGUUGUCUAAUUUUGCAAGCAAAUAAUUAGCAUAAUAUUCAGGAAUGAAUGCAUCUCUAAAAAGAAAUUUGAAGUCUUCCCAAGAUUCUAGAACUUUGUUGUGCCUACAAAUGCGUUUCCAUUCAAGCAAAGCAUAUUCAGUCAAAACAUUAGAGGCAAUAUAAAUCUUUUGUUUCUCGGACAGGUCAUGCUCAUCAAAUUCAUUAUCUACUUUUAUCUCCCAAUCAAUGUAAGCUUUAGGAUCAAACUUACCAUCAUAUAACGGCAAGUGUUGAAUGACAUCCUGAAUAUGAGGGUCUAGUUUCAACAGCUCAACGAUCUUCGUAUAACCUGCCAUGAUUAGUAGAAAACAGGAAACACAAAAAUAAUAUGUAUACUCCUGUCAACUACUAUGAUGUGUCUUUUGUAAUUCUCUCUAACUCAACUUGUUUAAAACAAGCCCUUACAAGUUCUUACCAAGCCAAACAGGAGGUGACGGCAACCAACAAGUCUGCAACCGUGGAGUGAAGUGUAUCGGUGCCGCAGCAACAAGAAAAACCUGUCAAGCUGUAGUCGAAUAUGUGGAACUGUAGGUGGGCUUAAGCAAGGAAAUAUACUAGCACCACGUUAGUCACAAAAGCAAGUUGAGUAAUCAUUCAACGGCGGUACUAUGCUGGUCCUAGGCUAAACCAUGCUAGAGACGUGAGCCUAGGCACAAAGGUAGUCACUGAAAAGAGCAACUAGCACAGCACAAAGAAAACAACAGAUUCAGCCCCUUCUUUCUUCUCCUUGUCUUGUCUUUUUUUCUUCUUCUUCUUCUUCUUUUUUUCUUUCUCUUUUUUUUUGUUUCUUUUUUUUUUGCAGAGGCCUAAAUCUUUUAUUUGGUACUAUGACAACCCAAACAAUAAGGCUAUUGCACACAACCCCUUCGAAUUUUAAAUUUAACAACUCUUGUUAAUACAGCAGAUGCGGAAAUCUCUAAGACGAUUGUGGAGCGCUCAGACCGAAUUUUGCUGCAAGGUCAGAUCCGUUGCAAAGAAGACAACUUCAAGUUUCCAGAUUGUAUUUAAACUCCCAAAUCGGACAUCAUAUGAAACCGUGGUGGCAGAAAUGAAGCGAUGAUGUAUAUGGUGAUGGUGGGUCUCGUGGUGACCAAAACGUGAUAGAACUCAAAACUCUAAAGGAAUAGACACUAAGACCAGCAACUUGACGCAACCGAUGCAACCAAAAACUCAACAAGCCCUAACUAAGCAAUGCUAGCAAAGGCUCAAAGGGUUUAUAGGAUUGCAGGUAAACUAAUCUAGUAUCUUUUUUGUGCUUUUCUGGACUAUAGGUAAUUAAAAUCAGCAAGCAACUGGAAGUCUCUCACCGAUAAACCUUGCUUUGAUUACCAACUGAUAAGAACCCGCUAGGGUUGAUUCCCGAUCUUUUGAUGAGAGGCGUGGGAUAACUCGAUUGGUCGAUGGAGACGACGUUCACAGCCUGACUACAGCCUUCCAAGCUGCGCCUUAGCAACCGAUACACCACCUCCAAUGGCUGCCGCGAUCUUGUGGAGCGCGUCACGCGGCCACUAGGGCACUUGUCCUGCAAGCAAUCGAAGAACAAGCAAGAACAAGUAGAACAAGCAACUCAAUUGCAAAUAUGGAGAUGAAAACCAAUCUGAAAUCACAAAGUUGGGAUUCUGAAUCGAGUAGAACGGAUGGUCUAGUUGACACACGCGUCUACAAGGAAGUAGCAAUGGCUAAACUUACAUCAAAACAAAACCCAAUCUGUUCAUGGCGGCUCUAAUCCUUAUUAAUACCUAGGAGGACGACCAGGGGGGUGUUGGGGUCGUGCUCCAACCCUAGGACACGUCCCUAAUGGACCCAACUUGAUACACGGCCCAUCGGGCCAAAAUAGGGCGACGCAGCACCUGUGGAUAGAAAACCUCUCGGUAGUAUUUCGAUGAUUGCGGCCGCCUCAGAAUAGAUAUGGACAUGAGUCCGGAUCCAUAUGAAAAUAGACUUCAUAAGGAUUCCAAGGAGUACUUGAACACCCAAAACGGAGUCCGGAUGAGGUCGUGGCGGUCGUUGCAAGUUGGGCCAGAACUGUAGUCCGAAUCCAGCACCAAAACGUGUUGGAUUGGAUCUCUUUCUUUCCUUGUGCCAAAAGUGACAUGGUGGCCUGGUGGAGGACGUUAGGAAUACUUGGACUUCGCCCCCAAUCUACUUCUUUGGUCCUCCAUGCCUUCCAUGUGUGUUUAACACUAUUUUUGAUCCAUGUAUGUAUUUCUGAAAUUGACAACGAAUACACAUCAUGGUGCAGCAUCAAUUCAUCAAAUGUAUCACAUAUAAUUAUGAUAAAGAAUUGUUUCACCUCAAAGUCAAAAGAUGCCAAUAUGGUUGUAUCCGAGCAUGUGAUGUCCUCAUCAUUACGCGACUAUUUGAGACGGUUCUUCAAAAAGAAGGCAACCAUAGUUAACAUUUCAGAAACAAACGUCAUCGAGUGCUUCCAGAACGGACUCUACGAUCGACGAACAUACCAAGACUUCGGUCAACGGUGACCAGCUAAUAUCAAAGACCUUAAAGUUAUGGUGUAACAGUGGGCAGAUGAAGAAGACAAAGAGCGGGAACGGUUCGGCUCCCACCGCAGCCGUGGACGUGACAACAACAGCUACAACGACCAGGAUAGAACUCGACACAAUGAUACUCGAAACAACUUCUCGAGCAAUCACAAUCGCAAAAGGAAGCCCGACAACACUGUUGCUGCCAUGACCAACUUCGGGAAAAAGGGAUCCCGCAAAAAUGAUGAAGGGGCGACCUUCACCGAACUACUCAAAAAGCAGUGCCCAUGGCACCCGACUAGCAAACACUCGGCAAUAGACUGCUACAGCAUGCGCCGAGUAAUGUAAGACUUACCCACACCACCACCCCCUGAAGAGUACACCAGAAAAAGGAUAAGGGCAAGAACAAAGCCCACAACGAAGAAGAAGAAGAAGGCGACUUCCAGACCGCCUCAAAAAUAGUCAACGUCAUCUUUGGCGGAAUACCAGGCACCGCGUCCAAGCGCGCCAACAAACCCGUGCUCAGAGAGAUGAUGGCCAUCGAACCAACAGAUCCAACACCGCUAAAGUAAUCAGAGGUGCCCAUAUCCUUCAGCAGAAAGGACCGAUGGACCAAGUUCUCCGAACCAGGCCGGUUCCCCCUAGUACUCGAUCCCGUUGUGGCAGGCUCAAAGCUAACCAAAGUACUCAUCGGUGGUGGAAGUGGACUCAACGUCAUUUUCGCCAAAACAUUGAGGAAGAUGUGCAUCGACGUUACAUAAAUGCUUACUCCAACAGAUUCACCCUUCUAUGGCAUCGUACUUGGAAACGCAGAUAUACCACUAGGACAAGUCGUCCUCCCAGUUGCCUUUGGAACUAAGGAACACUACCGUACCGAGUACAUCAGAUUUGAAGUCGCCGACUUCGAGACAUCUUACCACGCCAUACUCGGAAGGCCAGCACUCGCCAAGUUCAUGGCCAUACCAGACUGUGUUUACUUGGUACUCAAAAUGCCAGGCCCCAAGGGAGAACUAACGCUAUGAGAAGAUCUACAGCGGUCCUACGAAUGCGACACCGAAGCCGUGGAAAUCGCUGUGACUUCUCAAGCACUUAGUCCCAUGCAACAAGUCUUCACAGCUUCAAAGAAGCUCCAUCCAACUGAACUCGAGAUCCAAGAAAACAAGUCGGGGUCUACAAAGGUGAAACCCGCAAGCGAGCAAGACUUCAAACCAGUCAAUCUCCAAACGGGCGACUCCUCCACGACAGCCCUGAUCGGAACAUGGCUAGAUCCUAAAUAGGAAUCCGCGCUCGUCAGUUUCCUUCGGGCUAACCACGAUAUCUUCGCUUGGAAACCAACUGACAUGCCAGGUGUGCCCAAGGAACUGAUCGAGCACUCUCUAAAUGUUGAUCCCAAAGCUAUCCCAAAACGGCAGCGACUUCGCAGAUUCGCUCAUGACAGACAAGAAGCAAUCAAAAAAGAGCUAGCCAAGUUACUCGCAGCAGGAUUCAUCAAAGAAGUUUUUCACCUUGACUGGCUAGCAAAUCCCGUACUCGUUCGUAAGAAAAACAACGAGUGGAGAAUGUGCGUCGACUACACCGACCUCAACAAGCACUGUCCAAAAGACUCUUUUGGACUACCCCGACCAAGUGGUCGACUCUACUGCUGGGUGCGCUUUACUAUGCUUUCUCAACUACUACUCUGGCUAUCAUCAGAUAAGCCUCAAGGAAGAAGAUCAGGCCAAAACAGCUUUCAUCACACCUUUUGGAGCUUGCUGCUACAAAACAAUGUCCUUCGGACUAAAGAAUGCAGGAGCAACCUAUCAACGAGCUAUACAGAUGUGCUUCGAAAAGCAUCUUCACCGCAAUGUCGAAGCUUAUGUCGACGACGUCGUUGUCAAAACAAGAAACCAGGAGGAACUCAUUGCUGAUCUGGAGGAAACUUUCUCUAGUCCAAGAGCUUUCCGAUGGAAGCUCAAUCCCACUAAGUGCAUCUUCGGAGUACCUUCUGGCAAGUUACUUGGGUUCAUCAUUAGCCAUCGCGGCAUUAAGGCCAACCCGGAAAAAAUAUCCGCCAUCACAAACAUGCAAGCACCAGCUAGCAUCAAGGAUGUGCAGAAACUCACAGGCUGCAUGGCCGCUCUCAAUCGGUUCAUCUCGAGACUUGGAGAAUAGGGACUACCCUUCUUAAAGCUUCUCAAACGCCAGGACAAGUUCAAAUGGACAGAAGAGGCAGACAAGGCACUAACGCAACUUAAAGACUUCCUGUCAAAGCCUCCUGUACUCACUGCUCCAUCUCCAAAUGAGGAUUUGCUCCUAUACAUAUCAGCUACUACUCAUGUCGUCAGCACGGCAAUAGUAGUCAAACGGUCUGAACCAGGCCACGCUUACAAGGUCCAACGACCUGUGUACUUCGUCAGUGAAGUACUCUCGGACUCCAAAACUCGGUACUCACCGAUACAAAAACUCUUAUAUACAAUCCUGUUCACCUCCCGGAAACUGCGCCAUUAUUUCUAAGAGCACAAUAUCACAGUCAUCUCUGACUUUCCACUCGGCGAAAUUCUCCACAACAGAGAUGCCGCGGGAAGAAUCUCCAAAUGGGCAGUUGAACUCGGAGCUCUUACCUUGGACUUCAGGCAAAGGACAGCUAUCAAGUCCCAAGCUUUGGUCGACUUCGUGGCUGAAUGGACGUAAAAUCAAGUACCAACACCAAUCGAGCGCCCAGAGCACUGGGUGAUGUACUUCGACGGGUCCCUCAAACUUGAAGGGGCCGGUGUAGGCGUACUACUAAUCUCCCCAAAGGGGGACCAGCUCAAAUACGUACUGCAAAAUUUCUAGGAGGUAUCCAACAAUGAAGCCAAGUACGAAGCACUGCUACAUGGCCUUCGCCUCGCAAUUUCUCUCGGCAUUAAAAGACUACUGGUGUCCGGCGACUCACUACUCGUUAUAAACCAAGUCAAUGACGAAUGGAACCGAAACAAGGAUAAUAGGGGCGCUUACUGCAAAGAAGUCUGCAAACUGGAAAAGAACUUCUCAGGCUUGGAAUUUCAUUAUAUCAUCCGCGAUAACAACGUAGCCGCCAACGUCUUAUCGAAAAUGGGCUCAACUUGUGCAGAGGUUCCAGCAGGAAUUUUCUUACAUGAACUGCACAAGCCGUCCAUACCUGAACAAGUUACACCGCCAGUGGUCCAGACUACUGACGCCAAUCGAGAAAUCAUGAUGAUAGAAGUUGACUGGAGGACACCCUUCAUCGACUACAUUAAAGAUCACAAGCUACCAUCUGACAAAAAUCAGGCUAACCAAAUCUCCCGGCGAGUAAAAAGUUACGUUCUAGUUGAUAUGAACCCGCUAGGGUUGAUUCCCGAUCUUUCGAUGAGAGGCGUGGGAUAACUCGAUUGGUGGAUGGAGACGAUGUUCACGGCCCGACUACAGCCUUCCAAGCUGCGCCUUAGCAACCGAUACACCACCUCCAAUGGCUGCCGCGAUCUUGUGGAGCGCGUCACCCGGCCACUAGGGCACUCGUCCUGCAAGCAAUCGAAGAACUAGCAAGAACAAGUAUAACAAGUACUGAAUUUACUAUAUGAAGAUGAAGGUUUCCAACUCAAUCUCAAUAAGGUGGGGUUCCGAAGACAGCAAGACGGGCGGCUGAUCCAGCACGCGCGCUUACAGGCAAGUAGCGAGAGCUAAACUUGAUCUAAACAAAACCCAAUCUGUUCGUGGCGGCUCUAAUCCUUAUUAAUACCUAGGAGGACGACCAGGGGGGUGUUGGGGUCGUGCUCCAACCCUAGGACAUGUCCCUAAUGGACCCAACUUGAUACACGGCCCAUCGGGCCAAAAUAGGGCGACGCAGCACCUGUGGACAGAAAACCUCUUGGUAGUAUUUCGAUGAUUGCGGUCGCCUCAGAACAGAUAUGGACAUGAGUCCGGAUCCAUAUGAAAAUAAACUUCAUAAGGAUUCCAAGGAGUAUUUGAACACCCAAAACGGAGUCCGGAUGAGAUCGUGGCGGUCGUUGCAAGUUGGGCCAGAACUGUAGUCCGAAUCCAGCACCAAAACGUGUUGGAUUGGAUCUCUUUCUUUUCUUGAGCCAAAAGUGACGUGGUGGCCUGGUGGAGGACGUUAGGAAUACUUGGACUUGGCCCCCAAUCUACUUCUUUGGUCCUCCAUGCCUUCCAUGUGUGUUUAACACUAUUUUUGAUCCAUGUAUGUAUUUCUGAAAUUGACAACGAAUACACAUCAUGGUGCAGCAUCAAUUCAUCAAAUGUGUCACAUAUAAUUAUGAUAAAGAAUUGUUUCACCUCAGACUCAAAAGAUGCCAAUAUGGUUGUAUCCAAGCAUGUGAUGUCCUCAUCAUUCUCCCCUUCUUGGCUGCAAGUCGUCCUCGACUUGCUCCAAUGGCAUUCUAAGGUAGUUGCUUUGAUGUUGGAGCACGGAGCGAUGACCAUGCUGCAUGGGCACAACCAGUAAUGCUCCCCUUCUUUGGCCUUACCCUGUUGCAUAUGGGAAAAACUAGAAAAACUUUGCAAGACAUUAUUAGUGUUAGUGCAGCCCUCUAUUUGAUCUUGGUAUUGUUGCCCAAAACGAUAUUUCAGAUUAGAGGAAAUAUAAACUUUAUGCACCAAAUAUUCUCCUUUGCUAUCAUAUUUGCCAAUUGCAUGAAGCGAACAAUGAUUAAAACUUGGCAAACCAGAACCAAAUUGAAGUUUCUCUUUUAGACAAUUUAGAUUACACAAAACAUCAAAUUCAAUGUAACCCAAAGUAUUUAAAGAGGAUAGCAAAUUCAGUUGAUCUUGUGCACAAGUAAUAGGAUGAAAAAGCUUAUCUUCAGCACAUUUGUAUGAUUCCAAACCAAAAGUAUCACACUUAUUCACUACUUGUGGUAUAGGAGUAAAAGAAUCAUCAGCACACAAGUCCUCUUUAUCACAAGGAACAGCAAGUAAUUCAUUUUGUGACAAAGGAAAAUCAGCAAUGGGUUCCACUAUUUGUUGCUCUUCAUUAACAUCGAGAGUGGAUAAAUUUUGGAUAUAAUGGGUCACAUCAUUCUUGCAAGUAUUCACAGAUAAUAGAAUCUCCUUUUCAACAUUGAGAGCAAGGCAAAACAAUUGACCAAUAUGUAUGUAUGAUUUGCUUAGCAACAAGGUUUGAAUUUCAGAAUUGAGGCCUCUCAUGAACCUACACAUAACAUCUUCCAUGCACUCAUCUAAUCCACCAUACAUGAUACAAAUUUUAAAAUCAUGGAAGUAUUCUUUCACAGUCCUACUACCUUGCCUCAAGUUGUCUAAUUUUUCAAGCAAAUAAUUAGCAUAAUAUUCAGGAAUGAAUGCAUCUCUAAAAAGAAAUUUGAAGUCUUCCCAAGAUUCUAGAACUUUAUUGUGCCUACAAAUGCGUUUCCAUUCAAGCAAAGCAUAUUCAGUCAAAACAUUAGAGGCAAUAUAAAUCUUUUGUUUCUCGGACAGGUCAUGCUCAUCAAAUUCAUUAUCUACUUUUAUCUCCCAAUCAAUGUAAGCUUUAGGAUCAAACUUACCAUCAUAUAACGGCAAGUGUUGAAUGACAUCCUGAAUAUGAGGGUCUAGUUGCAACAGCUCAACGAUCUUCGUAUAACCUGCCAUGAUUAGUAGAAAACAAGAAACACAAAAAAUAAUAUGUAUACUCCUG